UACGGAGGAUGCGAGCGUUAUCCGGAUUUAUUGGGUUUAAAGGGUGCGUAGGCGGACUGUCAAGUCAGCGGUAAAAUCGAGAGGCUCAACCUCUUCCCGCCGUUGAAACUGGUGGUCUUGAGUGGAUGAGAAGUACGCGGAAUGCGUGGUGUAGCGGUGAAAUGCAUAGAUAUCACGCAGAACUCCAAUUGCGAAGGCAGCGUACCGGCAUCCAACUGACGCUGAGGCACGAAAGCGUGGGGAUCAAACAGG
rnacentral:rRNA from 1 species